GAUGAACGCUGGCGGCGUGCCUAAUACAUGCAAGUCGAGCGAACGGACGAGACGCUUGCUUCUCUUAUGUUAGCGGCGGACGGGUGAGUAACACGUGGAUAACCUACCUAUAAGACUGGGAUAACUUCGGGAAACCGGAGCUAAUACCGGAUAAUAUUUUGAACCGCAUGGUUCAACAGUCCAAGCCGUUCUUGCUGUCACUUAUAGAUGGAUCCGCGCUGCAUUAGCUAGUUGGUAAGGUAACGGCUUACCAAGGCAGCGAUGCAUAGCCGACCUGAGAGGGUGAUCGGCCACACUGGAACUGAGACACGGUCCAGACUCCUACGGGAGGCAGCAGUAGGGAAUCUUCCGCAAUGGGCGAAAGCCUGACGGAGCCACGCCGCGUGAGUGAUGAAGGUCUUCGGAUCGUAAAACUCUGUUAUUAGGGAAGAAGAUAUGUGUAAGUAACUGUGCACAUCUUGACGGUACCUACUCAGAAAGCCACGGCUAACUACGUG
rnacentral:rRNA from 1 species